CAAAUUACUCUUACGUACUCCGAGAUGACACAAGGAGAAAGCUACGCGGUUUGGGGUCAAAUGAUGUCUUUAUUCUGCUCGAUGAGAGGCUUACAGGUUGUGCAAAGACAUCAACGGCCAAGCCGAGCGUAGUGAGGUGGCCCCAAACCGCGUAGCGGAAAUGUGUGGAGAAUAGUAUUGUUAUUGUAGUAAAGUAGAGAGUAUGUAAAAUUACAGUUCAGCUUUCAAAGAAACAGUCCAGGACUUGUGAAGAUCCGCCUGCAGAACGCCGCUGGGCACUGUCGAACAGCGUAGACUCGGGCCGGAAACAGGUGCGUCGGCGCGGUGAGUCUAACUUAGUACUGCGAAGUGAGGGGUCCUGAGGGUCUUCAGCGCACCGCUGGAGCUGGUCUCCUUGUGUUGUCGAUUGUGAAGGAACGCAGAGUCAGUGGUGUCAGGGGUGCAGGCCCGAGCUGGUGAAGAUCGCACUGCAGAACUCCGCCUGGCACUUGCGAGCAGUAGAGGCUAGCCCGAGAGCGGAUGCAACGGCGCGUAGCUCUAGCUGGAGUGCUGCGAAGUGGGGGGUCCCGCGAGGGUCUUCAGCAUGCUGCUGUAGGUGCACACCAACUUCCUACUGUCUGGGUCCCUGUAGGUAGUACGGGCGGGAAGGGGAAAGACUGAGGGGUAAGGAGGUGUCGUUCGAGAUGUUUACGAAGUUGCCGCCGGUAGGAACAUGGCUGCCGACAUCACGGACGCCUCGCGAGAACGAAAAGGGCGCGAAAUUUCGAGGAAGUUGUUGGGGUGGGGGGCGUUAAUUCCAGUAGCGGUUUGGUCUCUAGCUAGGCCGUACGGCCCCUAUGAGAGCAGGUAUGUCCCCCGUGGAAUCUGCAAGGUCUUCUGAGUCCUAGUUUCAGUGACGUGAUGUUUCGGAGCCCUGGGUGGAGCGAGCUGCAUGCUGACUGUCGAAAGUGGCUAGAUCGAUGGCGUGGUGUUCCAACAGCUCGCCCGUCUUGGUGGAGCGCUCUAUCGGCCGAUUCCAAGGGGAAUCCGGUGGCCCCACCUCGUUUGCUGGCAGAAUCGUGUGCCUCAGUAGUUAAGACACGUUGUACGCUAGGUAGAGCUCUUGAUGAGAACUAAAACCAGGAAAUUUUUGGAUGAAAAGUUAAGCAAAAUGCGAGCCCGGCCGACCUAGCCGGCGGAUGUCGCUCAGUGAGGUCAAGGGUCGUUUCCGUCAGCGAAAUUCCCUACGAUUGCUCUAUUAGCAAUC